rnacentral:rRNA from 1 species
UACGUAGGGUGCGAGCGUUGUCCGGAAUUAUUGGGGCGUAAAGGGCUCGUAGGCGGUUUGUCGCGUCGGGAGUGAAAUCCACUGGCUUAACUGGUGGCUUGCUUUCGAUACGGGCAGACUGGAGGUAUGCAGGGGAGAACGGAAUUCCUGGUGUAGCGGUGAAAUGCGCAGAUAUCAGGAGGAACACCGGUGGCGAAGGCGGUUCUCUGGGCAUGUCCUGACGCUGAGGAGCGAAAGUGUGGGGGAGCGAACAGG